rnacentral:rRNA from 1 species
GGUUGCGAUCAUACCAGCACUAAUGCACCGGAUCCCAUCAGAACUCCGCUGUUAAGCGUGCUUGGCGAGAGUAGUACUAGGAUGGGUGACCCCCUGGGAAGUCCUCGUGUUGCAACCCC